rnacentral:rRNA from 1 species
CCCUUAGAUGUUCGGGGCCGCACGCGCGCUACACUGACUGCAGCAGCUAGUGUGAUCCUGGCCGGAAACGGUUGGGUAACCUGGUUGAAUCGCAGGCGUGACAGGGAUCAGGGCUUGCAAUUGUCCCCUGUGAACGAGGAAUUCCGAGUAAGCGCAAGUCAUUAGCUUGUGCUGAUUACGUCCCUGCCCUUUGUACACACCGCCCGUCGCUACUACCGAUUGAAUGUUUUAGUGAGGUCUUCGGACUGGUUCCGGCGGAGUGGUUCUCUGCUCUGCUGGAGUCGGGAAGAUGAUCAAACUUGAGCAUUUAGAGGAAGUAAAANUCGUAGCA